GAGGGAGAUAUGCGCACGCGCACGGGAAGGCCGCGCGGUCUCUGGGUUUAGAACCAGGUUCGUAACCGCGCGCGCGCGCGCAUCUUUCUCACUACUCACGCCACCCCCCACCUUUUCGACCAGUAAUGCCUCGAAAACCUGAGGGGAUCUGAUGGAGAAACGCAUAAAUAACGGCGAAACAUCUCGUCGGUCCUCCUGUAGCCGCCAACGCCUCACUCCCCACAAAAGAUUCAAAAAUAUUCACUCGUCGUCGGCAUUUACUGCGCUUUGAGUGAUUUGAAUGAAGCAUGGGGCCUACCUGAAACGCGGAAAGCACGGUUCCCGGGACUUAUCUCCGUUGUAACUACACAGCGGCCAUUUCCCGACUCAAGAACGGGAGGAAAACCAUAGAGCUAUCUUCGACGCGCUAGCUCGUCUCCGUCACUUCCGAUUUGGGGCGUGGCUGCCAGUGCCGCUAAAUAUCUGGGCUAGCCCCGCCCACCCUUCCGCUCUAAACCGGCUCCCUAGCUAUUAAGAUGUUUGCCUGAGGCUUUCUGGGAAGUCGCGUGGCUGGUCUCGCGCGAGGAUCUGGCGGCUCCGCCCUCCGGCCUUGAGCUGCCGCCUCACCCCGGGUGACGGUAGGCAGUGGGCGGGGUGUUUGUCAGGCCGUGAGGUCUUGCUGGCCGCAUGGUGGAGUUUGCGGGAGGCUCGACUCUCUCUGAGGGUACGCUUUGGACCUCUCUGUCGAUCCCACCUUUUGCUUGUUUGGUCUGUUCUUUCUGUGGCGCUGACUCAGACCGGAACAAAGACCCAGUCUCACGCGGAGGAAAAAGACGGGGAGGCUAGCGGGCUGUGUGUGAUCGCACACCGAGUCCCCGGUGACCAGUGGGCGCCGAGUUUCUUCUUAGACGUCUUAACUGCAAGUGUCGCUUUCGCUUUGCUAUAAAAUGUGCCGAACGCACUUCUGUAGUAGAAAAAUGGCCAUGAGCUAAGUCCCUUUCCAGAGUGGCGUCAGACCAACUCCGCUACCCCUGACGGAGUUUGCGCCGCGGUGUUCCUCGGCUCGGGCUGUCUGUCCGGCUUUGCAUCGGAGGGUGGUGCUGCUUUCAUCGCCGCGCUGCUAGAGAGCAUCGCCACUUAGGCGCCUCGGAGCGUCGGCACGGGCGUAAAAAUAAUGCAGAAUACGAAGCAUAAUGAUCGUUUGUGCCGGCCGAGAAACAGCCCAGUAUAGCUUGGUCCGCCAAAAAUUGCCUGUGGGUCAAGAAUCUGGGAGAGGUCAUCUGGAUGAUACUGGCUUAAGGUCUCUCAUAAGGUUGCAGUUAAUCUAUCAGGUGAGACUGCGGUCACCUGAAGUCUGUGGAUUCACUCCAAGAUCACUCAGUGUUGUUGGCAGGAGACCUCAAUUCCUUGUCACAUGGACUUCUCCAUGGGAUGCCCAGUGUCCCCUUACAUGAUAGAUGGGAUGGUGCCCUCCCAGAGUAAAUGAUCCAAGCAAGGACUAGCCCAAGACGAAGCUGCAGUCUAUUAUAACCUAAUCUCAGAAGUGACACACCAUCACUCUGCUGUAUUUCACAUGGACCAACCCCUGGUACGGUGUGGAAGGAGAAUAUACAAAGGUGUGAAUACCAGCAGGUAGAGAUCAUUGGGGACCAUCUUGGAGGCUGACUAUCACAUGAGGAGAGACAAGUGCUUCAAGUGUGUGAGGUAAAAAAAAAGACAAAGGACAAAAUAUCCUUAUGUGCAAUUUUGCCUGCAGGAAACACUGAGAGAAUAUAGUAACUACGCCCACCUGAACUGAGCCAGGUAGGCAUACUGACAGAAGCACUUCAUAGAUCUACCAGCUGCUUCAAUUUGCGCCCAUCUACUUCUCACGUUACAACAGUCCAUUUGAUUUUAGAAACUCUCCUACCACUUCAAAAUAACAAGUUUCCUGAUACCCACUUCCACAAGUAAACUUUAGUCUUCUGUUUUCCUACAUGAAUCUUCUCUUGAGCAAUGAAGGAAAAUACUGUAGUUCAGUGAGAAAACAUAUGUUAAAUUGUUUGCUUCCAUUUAAGAGGAAUUUAUAGGGACACCUGGGUGGCGCAGUCAGCUUCCAGAUGAUUGCUGUCACCUUGAAUGCAGACUUUUGAAAGACUCUGAGCCAGAAUCACCCAGCUAAGCUGCUUCUGACCCACAGAAACCAGGAGAUAAUAUAUGUUUUAAGAUAUUUGUAAGCUGAUGGAUGACUCAUGACUCCUGGAGAAAAGUCAGGACACAGGAAAACGGCUGGCAUUAGCUCGUCAUGCAUCUUAUUUAAGAAGAUUAGGCAAGCCUAUUUGUCCCUUGGACUGUGUCAGCCCCAUACUCAGUUACAUUUGAUAUGCAGAGCCAGAGAAACAUGGAAAAAGGGAAUUCAGUCUCAGCAUCUAUCAAGGUUUACAGUUAAUGGCAUAAGAAGAAAUCUAAGUUCUCCGAAAAUGGAAUAAAUGGAGCGCUACCCCCAAGAUCCUUGUGCAGCUGACUACUCACUUGUCCUGCUGUCUCAGAACACAGCCUCUCCCUCUACAGAGAGCAGUGUGCUCCAGAAGCCAGUAACAGCCCAACAUGGGACUGGGUACCCUGGAAAGGGGGCACUGAAGAAGUAAAAAGAUAAGAAGGGCUGUUUGGCCAAGAUCUGGAGAAGAUGAUGGACAAGGAAAUAGCCAGACAUUGUUACCUGAAUAAUUUUACCUGAGGGGUAUUUGUGGAAUCUGAAGGAGGUGGCUAAGAUGCUGAAAGGUGCUUUUGACAGCCUCUCAGGGAAAGUGAUUAGAGUCAAGAGUUCGCCCAGAAGGACAGGCCUUACUUUGGGUUGGGAACCAAGAAGCCUUUACCAACCACUAAGCAUGAAUCAGAAGUAGAUUGGCCCUGGGACUACAGCUCAGCUUGAAGCAUCAUUCUUUUAUUGAAUGAAGGAAGUAACCAAAAUGGGCUAGCUUCUCCAAGUAUUUCACAGGGUUUUCAUCUAUCAAGAGCAAACAACCAUUCUUGUGGAAAUUGUCAAGUUGAAUACAAAAUUUAUAUGAAAAUGCAGGAAACCUAGAAGAGCAAAAACCAAAAGGGAAACAUGUGGUGGACUUAUCCUACCUGAUUCCAAGUUUCCCUGCAAACCACAGUAAUUAUGAUACUGUGCCUUGGUGUGAGGAUACACGAAGAGAUGGAACAAAAUAGCCUAGAGAUGGACCCAUACAGAUAUGGUCAAUUGAUUUUCUUUCUUUCUUUUUAAAGAUUUUAUUUAUUUACUUAUUCAUGAGAGACACCCAGAGAGAGGCAGAGACAUAAGCAGAGGAAGAAGAGCGCUCCCUGCGGGGAACUUGAUGUGCAACUCUAUCCCAGGACCCCGGGAUCACACACUGAGCCAAAGACAGACACUCAAUCACUGAGCCACCCAGGUGCCGCUGGUCAACUGAUUUUCAACAAAGUUACCAAGAUGACUAAAUGAAGAAAAGGAAGUCUUUUUGAAUAAGUACUGCUAAACAAGUGGAUACACAUUUGGGGGGAAAAAAAACUUACCUUGAUUAUUAUUACUGUCUGACCUUUACUGAACUUCUGUAGUCAUAGUUUUAUUUUUUUAAUAUUUUAUUUAUUUAUUCAUGAGAGACAGAGAGAGAGAGAGAGGCAGAGACACAGGCAGAGGGAGAAGCAGGCUCCAUGCAAGGAGCCGGAUGUGGGACUCGAUUC